UACAGAGGUCUCAAGCGUUGUUCGGAUUCAUUGGGCGUAAAGGGCGCGUAGGCGGCCUGGCAAGUGGAAGGUGAAAUCCCUCGGCUUAACCGAGGAACUGCCUCCCAAACUGCUUGGCUUGAGACCAGGAGAGGUGAGUGGAAUUCCCAGUGUAGCGGUGAAAUGCGUAGAUAUUGGGAGGAACACCAGUGGCGAAGGCGGCUCACUGGACUGGUACUGACGCUGAGGCGCGAAGGCGUGGGGAGCGAACGGG
rnacentral:rRNA from 1 species